GAUGAACGCUGGCGGCGUGCCUAAUACAUGCAAGUCGAGCGAACGGACGAGAAGCUUGCUUCUCUGAUGUUAGCGGCGGACGGGUGAGUAACACGUGGAUAACCUACCUAUAAGACUGGGAUAACUUCGGGAAACCGGAGCUAAUACCGGAUAAUAUUUUGAACCGCAUGGUUCAAAAGUGAAAGACGGUCUUGCUGUCACUUAUAGAUGGAUCCGCGCUGCAUUAGCUAGUUGGUAAGGUAACGGCUUACCAAGGCAACGAUGCAUAGCCGACCUGAGAGGGUGAUCGGCCACACUGGAACUGAGACACGGUCCAGACUCCUACGGGAGGCAGCAGUAGGGAAUCUGCCGCAAUGGGCGAAAGCCUGACGGAGCAACGCCGCGUGAGUGACGAAGGUCUUCGGAUCGUAAAACUCUGUUAUUAGGGAAGAACAUAUGUGUAAGUAACUGUGCACAUCUUGACGGUACCUAAUCAGAAAGCCACGGCUGACUACGU
rnacentral:rRNA from 1 species